AAGCGGAGGAAAAGAAACUAACAAGGAUUCCCCUAGUAACUGCGAGUGAAGCGGGAAAAGCUCAAAUUUAAAAUCUGGCGGUCUUUGGCCGUCCGAGUUGUAAUCUAGAGAAGUGUUACCCGCGUCGGACCGUGUACAAGUCUCCUGGAAUGGAGCGUCAUAGAGGGUGAGAAUCCCGUCUUUGACACGGACUACCGAGGCUUUGUGGUGCGCUCUCAAAGAGUCGAGUUGUUUGGGAAUGCAGCUCAAAAUGGGUGGUAAAUUCCAUCUAAAGCUAAAUAUUGGCGAGAGACCGAUAGCGAACAAGUACCGUGAGGGAAAGAUGAAAAGAACUUUGGAAAGAGAGUUAAACAGUACGUGAAAUUGCUGAAAGGGAAACGCUUGAAGUCAGUCGCGUCGUCCGGGAAUCAGCCUUCCUUCUGGUUGGUGUACUUCCUGGUCGACGGGCCAGCAUCAGUUUUGACCGGUGGAAAAAGUUCGAGGGAAUGUGGCACCUCCGGGUGUGUUAUAGCCCUCGUUCGUAUACAUCGGUUGGGACUGAGGAACUCAGCACGCCGCAAGGCCGGGAUUCGUCCACGUUCGUGCUUAGGAUGCUGGCAUAAUGGCUUUAAUCGACCCGUCUUG
rnacentral:rRNA from 1 species